rnacentral:piRNA from 1 species
UAAGGGAACAGUAACGGUUGAGCAUUUCU